rnacentral:tRNA from 1 species
AAGGCACUAGUAAAACAGCCAUUGCACCUCCUUGUCAAGGAGGACUUGUAGGUUAAACCCCUGCGUGCCUUA